GAAAAUGUAACCCUCACCCCCUUCGGAAAACCCAUUCGAAACAGCCCCCCCCCCCCCCCCCCCCCCCCCCCCACACUAAAACCUUUGUCGAUGGUCGCGCACGAUUGACAACUUUGUUUGCCUCCAUUGUCGCCGACGGCCUCUCUGCUUACUAUCUCUUUGCAUCAACAACAAGGGAGGAGAAAAUGGAAAAGGUUAGGGGAAAAAGGAGAAGAAAAAGAUGGAAGAAGUCGGAUGAUCCUAAAGUUACUGUUCAUCAUGUUCCCUCAGUCCACAUGUUGUUAGAGUUUGGAUGGACUUGCCAAAGAAGUCGGAUGCAUUUUUAUGGAGACCUAACUCAGAGAUGACAUACAUUGAGGAUACUGAUUGGAGCACAAGCAUGCCCUCUUGACAAAGUUAUUUUAAGUAUUGUACAUUAUUUAACUAUUAACUUUUAGCUAGCUUUUUCAACUAAAAUCUUUGUGUAUAAACUUAAUUAUUCAUUUAAUUUUUGUUCAUAUUUUUUUGCAAGUUGAUAAAAGAACAAUUGUACAAAGCCCAAGAAUGUCAUUACCAAGACACAACAAGCUUCAAGUAUUUAGAUUCAUAUAUUCUAUUACCUUUUUGUAACUAA